rnacentral:rRNA from 1 species
AGCGAACGCUGGCGGCAGGCCUAACACAUGCAAGUCGAACGAACUCUUCGGAGUUAGUGGCGGACGGGUGAGUAACACGUGGGAACGUGCCUUUUGGUUCGGAAUAACUCAGGGAAACUUGUGCUAAUACCGAAUGUGCCCUUCGGGGGAAAGAUUUAUCGCCAUGAGAGCGGCCCGCGUCUGAUUAGCUAGUUGGUGAGGUAACGGCUCACCAAGGCGACGAUCAGUAGCUGGUCUGAGAGGAUGACCAGCCACACUGGGACUGAGACACGGCCCAGACUCCUACGGGAGGCAGCAGUGGGGAAUCUUGCGCAAUGGGCGAAAGCCUGACGCAGCCAUGCCGCGUGAAUGAUGAAGGUCUUAGGAUUGUAAAAUUCUUUCACCGGGGACGAUCAUGACGGUACCCGGAGAAGAAGCCCCGGCUAACUUCGUG